CUCCAAGUCUUCUGGGGUUUGUUGCUAGCCAGGUAUGCAAAACAAAGACAGGAAUUCAAACCAAAGGUUUGAAGUAGAUGGCAAUGACUCCAUUGGCUCCAGCUAAGUGCUUUUUUAAUAAUUUUUUUUUUGGUUUUUCAUUUCCCCCUUUCAUUUGCAAGGGAGACAGAAAGAAUCUUAGAGUGAUGGAAAAUUGAGUUGCCCAACACUCACAUAGUGAAAUUUCUUGUCAGAACUCUUUCCCUCAACCUUCAGUGGAUUUAAGAGACUUAUAAGGGUUUUCCAAAGCAGAGAUUAUGUGGCCCUUCUAACCCUCAGUCUGACGGAGUCUUGGAGCAGGGAAGUUUUUCAUGUUAAACAAGGACAAAUUUUUGAAAGAUAGGUUAAGAGACUUUGAGUUUGACACCGUUAGCUGGUGUCCUAGGUUCCAAAAGGAGAUUAGGUCCUGAGUCAAAGAGUCUCCUUUGGGAGAAGAAAAGCCUCCCACAGCUAUCUCUGGGUGAAAUAUCUUUCAAUUGAAAAGAACAAUUACUUAAACAUUUUAUUUAAUCUAAUAUGGGAUAUACAAAGGACCAAUCUCCCCAAACUCACUUCUGAACUCUUAUGGGGAAGAGCUGGUACCUCAGUUGAAGACUCACUGUAUCAAAAAUCUGAAGGCAAGAAGAAGCUCCUAGCCAAAUGCCUGGAACAGACACCUCUAGAGAUACUCAUGAAAAGAAGUACCAAUACAUGUCACAUGAGGACAGUUGAGUAGUAGAUCCAACAUCAACCACCCAUUGUCAUUACUAGAAGCCCUCAAUGCUCCUGAGACAUCAGAGUGGCUCUCCUGUGCAUUUUAUUUAUAUAUAUCCUCAACUCACUCAAAAUGCUUUGGCCAAGUGUUCCAUCUUCCAGAGCUUGGGAAAUUUCCAAUUUAUGAUGUGUGCAUUGGUGAGAAAGUAUUUUUCAGAUUUAUGGGGGAAAUAAUAUAUUACUUUUUCUCUUAGUGCUAUUUCAUUAAAUGCUUUUUCUCCGUCCACGAGUAUUGCUAGUUGUAUCUGCUGGGCUUUGGCUGGGAGCUUCUUCCUAUUUUCAGCUUUUUCUUACAGUGAGCCUUCAAAUGAUCUGCUAUCUCUUCUCCAAGAGUUUAAAAUACUGAAGACACAAAACAAACAAUUUAUAGCCACUCCAUUGGACAGCCUAGAGAUUAGCAAGGGAAAUGAUUCUUCUCCUUUAUUUUCCUGGCACAGAGGAAAUGAUUUUCUACACAGGGCUGGGGUCUCUCUGACCCAUCGAUUGGCUGGUGGAAGCACUGGAGGCCGGGGACUGGCUUUCUAUAAAUGGUUUCUCCUUCAGUUCGACACAAGAGGGCUCGUCCUGACGACUUACAAUUAAGGAAAAUCUAUAUCUGGCACUUUUAUUCGGAAAAUGAAGCGUUUCCAUCGCUGGUAAAUAAUUAGGGGAGAUCGGCUCCGGGCCAUAAUUAACCAAGCUCCACCUCUGGGGGAAGCUGGCCUGGCCACUUAGCACACUAUGGUCCAGGAUCAUCAGAUGUCUUUGAGGUCUGUGCAGCAGCUCAGCUGGUCUUGAGAAUUCACAGCAUCUGAACAGGUGUUCUUCCUUGUCCUUGGAGUGAAGGACCAAGAGCUGGCAGAGACCUUGGAGAUCGUGGAGAUCAUUUCACAGAUGAAGUUACUGGCGGGAGGGGAAACCACCUUGCCCAAGGACACAACGAGUAGGCAGCACAAUGGGAAUUCGAAUUCGUGUCCUCUGAGUCAAGAUUCGGUCCCUGACAUAUCACAAGUCACAUAUUGCCUCCUUUGUGGAGUCGGCUAAGCCACUUCGCUGCAUAUGCCCAAGCCCUGUGCAGGGUAAGGGGAAGAGAAACUGGGUGUGCCAAGCUCAGGGAGAAGUAGGGGGUGCUACAGCCCCUGCCCUCCAGCAACUCAUAGUCCAAGAGGACUGAUGAGACUGACUCUGGAGCCUUCAGAACUUGUACUGCUCAAGUCUAUCAUCCAUAUGGGCAGAUCCUUUGCACAGCUGACUCUAGCCCAUUGCUACAUUGCCAUUCUAUAUGACUAUUGCCUAU
ensembl:lncRNA